AUUGAACGCUGGCGGCAGGCCUAACACAUGCAAGUCGAGCGAGCGGCGGACGGGUGAGUAAUGUCUGGGAAACUGCCCGAUGGAGAGGGAUACCUACUGGAAACGGUAGCUAAUACCGCAUACCAUCUGAUGUGCCCAGAUGGGAUUAGCUAGUAGGUGGGGUAAUGGCUCACCUAGGCGACGAUCCCUAGCUGGUCUGAGAGGAUGACCAGCCACACUGGAACUGAGAAACGGUCCAGACUCCUACGGGAGGCAGCAGUGGGGAAUAUUGCACAAGGGGCGAAAGCCUGAUGCAGCCAUGGCGCGUGUGUGAAGAAGGCCGUAGGGUUGUAAAGCACUUUCAGCGGGGAGGCGUUACCCGCAGAAGAAGCACCGGCUAACGCCGUGCCAGCAGCCGCGGUAAUAC
rnacentral:rRNA from 1 species